UUAUUAUUAUUGAAAAAUAAUAGUAAUAAUAAUAAUAAUACUAUUAUUAAUAGUUAUAACCACUAUGGAAAUCAAAUACAAAAUGUCGUCUGCUCUGUUGGAGAAAUUAUGCUUCUAUUUAAUGAUCCUUCCCAUGUUGCUGGACUUACACACGGCUUUCGGCCAAGGAUUCGAAGGUGAAAAUGGAUUACUUUCAGCUCAAUGUCGGGCUAGGUGUAUGGAAGAGUUUGAAGUAGCACAAUUUUCACAGGUAA
rnacentral:lncRNA from 1 species